rnacentral:tRNA from 1 species
GGUGGCUCAAUGGUAGAGUGUUUGCCUUGCAUGCAUGAGGGCCUGGGUUCGAUUCCUCAGCACCA